rnacentral:rRNA from 1 species
GAUGAACGCUAGCUACAGGCUUAACACAUGCAAGUCGAGGGGCAGCAUUUCAGUUUGCUUGCAAACUGGAGAUGGCGACCGGCGCACGGGUGAGUAACACGUAUCCAACCUGCCGAUAACUCGGGGAUAGCCUUUCGAAAGAAAGAUUAAUACCCGAUGGCAUAAUUAGACCGCAUGGUCUUAUUAUUAAAGAAUUUCGGUUAUCGAUGGGGAUGCGUUCCAUUAGGCAGUUGGUGAGGUAACGGCUCACCAAACCUUCGAUGGAUAGGGGUUCUGAGAGGAAGGUCCCCCACAUUGGAACUGAGACACGGUCCAAACUCCUACGGGAGGCAGCAGUGAGGAAUAUUGGUCAAUGGGCGCAGGCCUGAACCAGCCAAGUAGCGUGAAGGAUGACUGCCCUAUGGGUUGUAAACUUCUUUUAUAUGGGAAUAAAGUUUUCCACGUGUGGAAUUUUGUAUGUACCAUAUGAAUAAGGAUCGGCUAACUCCGUGCCAGCAGCCGCGGUAAUACGGAGGAUCCGAGCAUUAUCCGGAUUUAUUGGGUUUAAAGGGAGCGUAGGUGGACAGUUAAGUCAGUUGUGAAAGUUUGCGGCUCAACCGUAAAAUUGCAGUUGAUACUGGCUGUCUUGAGUACAGUAGAGGUGGGCGGAAUUCGUGGUGUAGCGGUGAAAUGCUUAGAUAUCACGAAGGACUCCGAUUGCGAAGGCAGCUCACUGGACUGCAACUGACACUGAUGCUCGAAAGUGUGGGUAUCAAACAGGAUUAGAUACCCUGGUAGUCCACACAGUAAACGAUGAAUACUCGCUGUUUGCGAUAUACAGUAAGCGGCCAAGCGAAAGCAUUAAGUAUUCCACCUGGGGAGUACGCCGGCAACGGUGAAACUCAAAGGAAUUGACGGGGGCCCGCACAAGCGGAGGAACAUGUGGUUUAAUUCGAUGAUACGCGAGGAACCUUACCCGGGCUUAAAUUGCAUUUGAAUAUAUUGGAAACAGUAUAGCCGUAAGGCAAAUGUGAAGGUGCUGCAUGGUUGUCGUCAGCUCGUGCCGUGAGGUGUCGGCUUAAGUGCCAUAACGAGCGCAACCCUUAUCUUUAGUUACUAACAGGUCAUGCUGAGGACUCUAGAGAGACUGCCGUCGUAAGAUGUGAGGAAGGUGGGGAUGACGUCAAAUCAGCACGGCCCUUACGUCCGGGGCUACACACGUGUUACAAUGGGGGGUACAGAAGGCAGCUACCUGGUGACAGGAUGCUAAUCCCAAAAGCCUCUCUCAGUUCGGAUCGAAGUCUGCAACCCGACUUCGUGAAGCUGGAUUCGCUAGUAAUCGCGCAUCAGCCAUGGCGCGGUGAAUACGUUCCCGGGCCU